rnacentral:rRNA from 1 species
GAGGAAUAAGCAUCGGCUAAUGCCGUGCCAGCAGCCGCGGUAAUACGGGGGAUGCAAGCGUUAUCCGGAAUCAUUGGGCGUAAAGCGCCUGUAGGUUGUUUGUUAAGUCUGUUGUUAAAGACUAGGGCUCAACCCUAGAAAUGCGAUGGAAACUAAUAGACUAGAGUAUGGUAGGGGUAGAGGGAAUUUCUAGUGUAGCGGUGAAAUGCGUAGAUAUUAGAAAGAACACCGGUGGCGAAGGCGCUCUACUGGACCAUUACUGACACUCAGAGGCGAAAGCUAGGGGAGCAAAAGGGAUUAGAUACCCCUGUAGUCCUAGCCGUAAACGAUGGAUACUAGAUGUUGCGCAUUACGUGCAGUAUCGUAGCUAACGCGUUAAGUAUCCCGCCUGGGGAGUACGCUCGCAAGGGUGAAACUCAAAGGAAUUGACGGGGGCCCGCACAAGCGGUGGAGCAUGUGGUUUAAUUCGAUGCAACGCGAAGAACCUUACCAGGGCUUGACAUACUACAGAUCCCUUUGAAAAAAGGGAGUGCCUUCGGGAAUGUAGAUACAGGUGGUGCAUGGCUGUCGUCAGCUCGUGUCGUGAGAUGUUGGGUUAAGUCCCGCAACGAGCGCAACCCUUAUUUUUAGUUACCAAUUCGUUGGGUUCUCUAGAAAGACUGCCGGUGACAAACCGGAGGAAGGUGAGGAUGACGUCAAGUCAGCAUGCCCCUUAUGUCCUGGGCUACACACGUGCUACAAUGGCUAAGACAAAGAGUCGCGAGCUCGCGAGAGUCAGCUAUCUCAUAAACUUAGCCCAAGUUCAGAUUGCAGGCUGCAACUCGCCUACAUGAA